CUUAAGCUCACUGUGCAGCCCAAGGCUGGCCUUGAACUCACAGCCAUCCCCCUGGCUCAGCCUCACAAGUGCUGGGAUCACAGGUGUGUGCCACCCUGCUCAACUUCAUCUCAUCUUGAGAUGUGAGAGAGAGCAGAUUUAGAAUCAGAACUCAUUGCAGAUGGGGAUGGCAGUGCAUGUCUGUAAUCCUAGCACUCUUGAGAGGCUGAGGCAGGAGGAUCAAAACCUUGAGCCCAGCCUGAGAAACUUAGCAAGUCUCUGUCUCAAAAAAAUAAAGAAAAAAGGUCUGGGAACAUAACUUAUAGAGGCCCUGGAUUCAAUCCCUAGUACCACAAAGAGGAAAAAAUGCUUAGUGCUAAAUGGUCCUGUUUUCUAAAUAUUGCUGGUUUUUUUUCAAAAAAGUAUUCCAUAUGUACACAUCUUUUGAACUUAGCUUCUCUAAAAUGUCCAUUUUAAUGGCCCAUAGGUUUUGUUAUUUUUUUAGACCAUGUCACUAGCCUGGAACUUGAGACAGUGUAACCCAGUUUGGCCUCAACUCACCAUCCUCCUACCUCAGCCUCCAGAGUGCAGGGAUUACAGGCAUCAGCCACCACGCCCAGCUACAGGUUAAUGAUUUUAGAAAGUAAGGGUUUUUUCUAAAAUAAAGGAUAUCUACCUGAUACUGUGUGUCUAAAAAUCAACAAAUGUGAAGUAUUAAGAGCUAUCUGUAGCAUUGUUUACAAUGCUAGAGAUAUGAUGGGAAUGUUUAGCCCACAGAGGGAAACACAGACCAAGCUCUGUGGGUAACAGUCUGUUAAACUUCCACAGAGCUCUCCAUUUGGGACAGUGUAAUGGUCAUGCUAUCAUUUAUUGUAUGUUUAAGAAUAUUUAUCAUAGGCAGUCAGUAAUUGUUCUGAUUGGUCUGAAAGAAUAUGCAGAAAAUUGUUAGUGUUUGGUUUUAUUUUGAACCUAGUUUAACAAGUUUCAGUGUUUGGCUCAAAAUGCGGGCUUUUUCUGAAAACUAAACAUCUUAACAGGAUUUUUAUGUAAAUAUAUUUGUUUAAGUCGGUUAGAGCAGUUUUUAAAUAGGCAGAGAUCAAAAGCCUUUCGUGUUUUUAUCAUCUGCCAGUAUUAUUACCCAUUCAGAUUUCUAUUUAUAGUGUGGUAAUUUGUGUCCACUGUGAGCACUAAUUUCAGAAAAGGAAACUAUUACUGUCAUGUUUUAAUGUGUAAUGCGUUGGGCUUGGGCAGAGGGGAGUAGAAUGAGUAAAUACUAUAAUAAACCAGGUCUCUGCUGGCAAGUUGUUUAAUGAGUCAUUGGUGGAAAGGAUCAGUCAAACUAUCAAAUCUAAUAAAUCAUAUCUAAACAUAGUCUAUUACCCAUAUUAGAGCAAGUGACUGGUAUUAGAAAUUUUACUAUUUGCUUUAAAAUUCAGGAACUAAAGUUGGGGUGUCAUGGCACACCCCUGUAACCUCCACCUUUGGGAGGUUGAGGCAGAAAAAUGAUAAGUUUUGAGGCCACCCUGUCUCAAAAAAAUCAGUCAAUUCGUAAACUGUUUGAUUCAUAUUCCUAUUAGAUUUAGUUGACUAUUAAGAGGUCAGUGUUAAUUCAUAGAUUCAUAAGCAGAUUAACCAGUGAUGAGAACUACAUGGCAGGCAGAAAGAAAAAGAAUUUUUGCAUCCUGGAAAUGGAGUACAAUCAGAUGGGUCUUGAAUAGAUUGGGUAGUUACCAGGAAGCCGUCUGCUGUACUAAAUAGGAAUAAUAAAAUCAACAGAUUUGACAGCUGUGUGAAAAGUAGCCCAGGAAGGUAGAGCUAGCAUUAACCCACCCAGUCUUAUAGGGUGUUUGGUCAGUAAGCGUGAAGUGGUCAGGAUUAUAGCUGUGGUGAGACUGGAAAUCCAAGAAAGUGCAAAGAAAUAAUUGGAGAAUUGGUCAAUAGCUUCUGCCUCAGCUUCCUAGAAUACUAGGAUUACAGGUGUGCACCACCACUCCCAGCUUUUAGUAGAAUAUCUUAAUGGAUAUCUUCUGUAGAUAGCCAAAUGUAAACAGUUUCCCUUCCCUGAGAGUUACUGAUUUGACAGGAGGCAAUUUGAAGCCAUGAGUGUAAGUGAAAUUAUUUUCCUUAGAAUUAAACAUGAAGGAAAAAAAUGGACAACCUGGUGUAAAGUGGCUUGGGAAGGGAAGAAGGAUUGGAUUACAAGAGUCCUAUUACUGAAAAAGGGGCACAUAAGGCAAAUACCUGUAUAGCAGUUGAGAAUACUGCAUCCUGAUGGCAAAGAACAAGGUGCCAUUGUUUCUUUAUACUUGUCCUGUGCUAUAACCAGCAAUCAUUUCAUUCUCUAAAUGUCAUAAUUUAUGCCUUUUUAUAUACCUAUUGAUGGAGAGGUGGCUAACAAUCUAAGGAUAGGACAAUUUUGGAAAUAAGAUCUAAUUAGUACCAGGCCUGUGUGUAGCUAUAUAGCAACUAAGUGUUUCAGAGCCAGUGGUGGCAAACUUCUAUUCAAAUUCAGCUGCACCAGGGCCACAAAUCAGCUCCCAAAUGUAUAUCUGCAAUAUUUUCCUGUAUACUUCAACAAUGUAAACAUUUUUUCUCUCAUUUUUAAAUGGCUUUUUAGUACUUUACCCAAAAUGUUGGAGAUAAAUUCUUACUGCUUAUUAACUGGGUUCUCCUAUUGAUCUAUUUCGUAUUAUUUUCUGGAAAAAAAAGUUACUGUUAAACAUUUGUAUUGGUUUCCCAGGACUGUGUUAAAAAAUUUAAUAUUCUUAAAGUAACAGAAAUGUACUCAGUUCUGGAGGCUGAAAAUCCAAAAUCAAAAUUUCAUCAGGCAAGCUCCCUCAUCAGGGCUCUAGAAGAGAAUCCAUUCCUCAGCAUUAUACCCAUCAUUCCAGGCUGCCUCCAUCUGAACAUCUCUGUGUGGCUGAUACCCUCUUCUCUUUUACAAGGACAUCUGUGACGGCAUUUAGAGCAAACCUGAAUAAUUUAGGAUUAUUUCAGCUCAAGAUCCUUAACCACAUCUGCAAAGAUCCUUUCCUCAAAUGAACGUAACGUUCAUAAACUUGGGAAUUGGGGUAUGGACGUACCUUUGGGAGCCACUACAGCCUUCCACACAGUUUCAGUAACUUACUGUAACAAAGACCUGUGUGAAUCUGCUCCAGGAUAACCUAAAACAUUCUAACCUGAAGCCACAGUUCUCUCUAGAGAGAUUCUGAGCACCUGAGAAGAUCCUCUGCAGAGUUUCUUUCAAAAGAAGCCCAGGAUCAGGUGAGAUGCCAUAAGUGAGAAGUCCAAUCUGGGCUAAUUCCACAGUUCUUGAACCACUAUAGUAACCAUGGAGUGCCAUCACCAAUAACCAUCAUCAUCCCACAGAAAUACCUUCCACUUAUGUUUGCACACAUUCUGCCUACCCCACAUGUUCCGUAUUUUUCAAUGAUGACAGAAACGUUUUCCUUCAACGGUUUUGAGUUAGGGAGUGAUACUAAUAGUAACUUUUUUUGCUUUUCAUUUUCAGAUAUCCAGAGAGCUUGCCUCCAACUCAAUCCUCAUUUUUAAUCAGACAUUUGUAAUCCAUAUUAGAAGAAAAAUCUAUGAGACCAAAUGAUGAGGAAUCUUCAUACAUGCAGAGGGUUUGAACCUAGAUCAAGCCCAAAGCUGUAUUUCUCAAAAUACUACAUUGUCUUCAGGUGGAUAAGGUCUGAAGAAGCCUUCCUAAAAACACUAUUUCCCAAAAUUAGAGCAGAAUGUAAAUACCUCUGACAACAUAAAAUUAUUUCUUUUCCAACUGGAAUCAAGGAGAGUACUGAAGAAAGAAAAAGAUUUCUU
ensembl:lncRNA